CAAAAGCAGCCUUCUUCUCCGGUGAACCAUGCAGUUUCCGGCGUGGUGGCCGCCGGCCAACAGGCGGCGCCGCCGCGCCGGAAAAAAAAAAAAACACCUCCGUUUGCAAAUUUUUUUACGUUUUUAAAGAUUCUUUUUAGCAUAGAACUCAAAUCCGGUCUCGAAAAUUUCAAAACCAAUCACAUACACUCUAGAUCUAAGAUCAAACACAGCACAAAAGAAAGGUAAAGUGAACUACCUCUGAGAUCUGAAUGAACACGAACAGAAACAAACAGGUCACCACGUCUUCUUUACUCACGUUCUCGACUCCGACUCUUCUCUCUCGUCCGUUUCCGGCUUGGCUGCGUUUAUGUGUUGAUUGAAAGAUGACGGUAAGAAAAAAUGAAGGACGUUGGUGUUGAUGAUUAUAAUGGAAAAUGGUGUUUGUGAAUUUAUCUGAUUUUGAUGUUUGCUGGAAUUUAUUUGAUUUUGGUGUUUGCUGGAAUUUAUUUGAUUUUGGUGUUGGCUGGAAUUUUGCUUGAAGUUUUUAAGUGUUCUUCCCAAAACUCAUACUAUUUUCUAUGUAAUUUUUGGGCUUGAUUUGAAAAAAGGUUGGAAAAGUAGAAAAUUAGGGUUUGUGUGGUUUGAGGGACUGAUUUGACUCUGACGUGAACAGUGAUUUUUUCUGGGCCAUUUCCCAAUGAUUGACAGGGUUUUUAUAGUGACAAACUAGGGUUGGCUCUGGUACAAAACAAAGACCAAAAUGCCCCUGCAGCUGAGACUUGGAGAAAAAGAUUUUAACAAAUAAAUAAAUAAAUAAAUAAAAUAAAAACAAAAUGCAUAAAAUAAAUAAACAAAAUAAAUAAAAAGAAAGAAAAGAAAAGGGGAAGGAGUCAUUCACGUGACUUUCAUUCCCUUGUUUUUUUUCUAAAAAAAUAAAAAAAUAAAAUAAAAAUAAACAAACUAACCUAAAAAAAGAAAAUAAAAAGUCCCUUCGAAAUCUGACAUGAGG
rnacentral:lncRNA from 1 species